rnacentral:tRNA from 1 species
GCCCCAGUAGCUCAGGGGAUAGAGCAACGGUCUUCUAAACCGCAGGUCGGGAGUUCGAAUCUCUCCUGGGGCG